CCUCUGCUCCUUACCCCCCGCAGGCCGAGUUCCUGGACGUCAGCCGGCUCUCCUUCCUUCCGGACCUCGGCCCCAAAGGCUUAGAAGGCCUGAUCCUGAAGCGGUCCGGGGGCCACCGCAUCCAGGGCCUGCACUGCGUGGGCCACCACCAGGUCUGCUACCGCUGGUCCAAGAGGUGGCUGGUGGUGAAGGACGCCUUCCUCCUCUACCUGAAGCCGGAGUCGGGCGUCAUCUCCUGCGUGCUCCUCUUCGACCCGGCCUUCAGCGUCCAGGUGGGCAAGAAGCCCACGGAGGCCAAGUACGGCGUCCGGGUGGACAACAGUUGCCGGUCAGUCCAGUCGGGGGGAGGGGGGGCAAAGGGUGGGGGGGUCCAG
rnacentral:lncRNA from 1 species